GACGAACGCUGGCGGCGUGCUUAACACAUGCAAGUCGAGCGGAGCGGCGAACGGGUGAGUAACGCGUGAGUAACUGCCCCCCUCUCUGGGAUAACAGUUGGAAACGGCUGCUAAUACCGGAUAGUGGGGGAUGACUCGCGUCCUAUCAGCUUGUUGGUGGGGUAGUGGCCUACCAAGGCGACGACGGGUAGCCGGCCUGAGAGGGCGACCGGCCACAUUGGGCUGAGAUACGGCCCAAACUCCUACGGGAGGCAGCAGUGGGGAAUAUUGCACAAUGGGGGAAACCCUGAUGCAGCAACGCCGCGUGCGGGAUGACGGCCUUCGGGUUGUAAAGUACUUUCAGCGAGGAGGAAGGUUAAUAACCUUGGUGAUUGACGUUACUCGCAGAAGAAGCACCGGCUAACUCCGUGCCAGCAGCCGCGGUAAUUC
rnacentral:rRNA from 1 species